UGGAGUUCUACAUCAUGUUUGCAACAAUCACACCUGGGAAACAGGGAGCUGCCAACACGAUCACCUUGAAGACACUCAGGAUAAAGAGUGGAUUGAAAGAGAUUCGAAGAGUCACAAAGCUAGAGUGUUGAGAUCGUCCUCAACAAGCGCUGGCAGAAGGAUGUCCACAAGUAUUUGCGCUUCAGAUCAACAGCACAUCUUGAGUCAUUUCAGAAUCACAUUCUGAUGUAUGCCAGCAAGCGCCAGGCCUUUACUCCCCGAGUGUAUGAAGCAAGAGUUGUGCUCGCAGCUCUGGACUACAAUUUUCAUCGUGAACAUCCAACAUAUAGGACGGCUGAGGGCCAACAACUGUAUGUCAAAUGUUACUAAUAAGUAGAUGAUCUUUAAAAAUGUUUCUAUUUAGUUUUAAGAAGUACAACAAAAAUGCUAGAAGAUACAGCCUUUACACUGUAAAGUGUGAAAAAUCAUAUGCUUACAUCCCUGAGUUGCAAGCACACAUCUUAAAAGGGAGAUUCACAAGCGGAGUUGGGAUGCCACGAAAGAGGACCCUAUGCCCCGAUGACCCAAGGCGGCUUGGUGUUGUGCCCCCGAUACUUCCACCACCGACAUCAGAGUUGUUGCGUACACACGUCAGCAGAGGUUUAGGAUCAGCCUUCCAUGCUGCUACCAAUUUGGAGGCAGAUUAAGCUGUUGUUUUGCUGAUCCCUGGAAUGUAGCCGGUGUAUUGUCCAUGAGGGUCUGGGAACUUUUCCCUAAUCCUGGAAACACAGCAGCUGGGAAUCACUCUCCUGUUCCCCUGUCCUAAUGCGCCAUGCUGCCAGAAAAUAAAGUGUCUGUAAGCUGCAUGUC